AUGAUUGAUGAUCUCAUAGAAAAGAUUGUGAAGGAUAAGAGCACUGAUGAUGACUUUAUUCGGAUGACAUUUCUAGUUCUCUUAGGAACUAUAAUUGCACCAGUGUCUCAUGAAUACGUUCCGAAAAAGUACUAUGCCUUAGUGAAAAAUAUUAAGUUGAUAAGGAAGUUCAACUGGAAUGCAUUCACUUCACGAUUCUGUUUAUCGGAGAUUGGUAAGCUUCUGCAGGACGGCCAUGUUAGGCAGUGGCCCCAGGGGAACCUCGCCCUUUUGCAAUACCUAUACUGGGAGAAGGUGCAACCAAUCACCGGUCCAAAAUAUGAUCCGUUGGCAUUGUUGAGCCCGCUGAUGAGGAACUGGACGGAAGAUAUGGCUGUGAGAAGAGACAAAUACGACUACGAAUAUGGUCGUGGUGUUGGGAUGAUCGAUGACAACAUUACAGAGGAGUAUAGGUUGAAAAAAAUUGCGGAAGAAGAAGCUCAAAAAACCAAGAAAGCUAGUAGCAAAAAAUUUAACGUUACUGGAACGAGGAAAGAGGGCAGUACCUCAGAGGCUUCGAGCCAGAAGCCUACUAUGGACCGGAUUUUGAGUGAGAUGAAUGAGCUUCGGAAGGAAAUGCUUCGUUUGACAGAGUUAUGCGCACAGAGGAUGAUUGAGAAACUGAACAAAACCGGCGUCUCCUACAAACCCAGUAACCUGGAAGAGGACGAAGAGAAUCUGUACGGAGGCAUUAAUGAGUCUUCAAACGAUGUUGGACGUCCGCAAAAAGAGUUUGUAUAUCAAAAAGAUGAUUCAGACCGGUUUCGCACACCUUCCAAAAUAAAUUUGCAAAAGGAUGAUAACGGCGUUGAUGUAACUUCUCGUGAAAACACACCUUUUUACUGCACACCUGAGUACUGGGAUAGUUGGGUGAUAUGGAUGAUCCUGUCCAAGUACCAGAAGUAUCAGAUGAAAAAGCUGCCACAUCUUUAG
rnacentral:rRNA from 1 species